UCGAUUAGAGUUUGAUCAUGGCUCAGNNNNNNNNNNNNCGGCGUGCCUAACACAUGCAAGUCGAACGCGAAAGUCCCGCAAGGGAUGAGUAGAGUGGCAAACGGGUGAGUAACACGUGGGUGACCUGCCUUCGAGCGGGGGAUAACGUCCCGAAAGGGACGCUAAUACCGCAUAACAUGCCGCCUUUUAACAGGUGGACAUCAAAGCUGGGGAUCGCAAGACCUAGCACUUGAAGAGGGGCCCGCGCCUGAUUAGCUAGUUGGUGGGGUAACGGCUCACCAAGGCAACGAUCAGUAUCCGGCCUGAGAGGGCGGACGGACACACUGGGACUGAGACACGGCCCAGACUCCUACGGGAGGCAGCAGUGGGGAAUUGUUCGCAAUGGGCGCAAGCCUGACGACGCAACGCCGCGUGGAGGAUGAAGACCUUCGGGUCGUAAACUCCUUUCGAUCGAGACGAAUGGCCUCCGGGUAAACAAUCCGGAGGAGUGACGGUACCGAGAGAAGAAGCCCCGGCUAACUCCGUGCCAGCAGCCGCGGUAAUACGGGGGGGGCAAGCGUUGUUCGGAAUUACUGGGCGUAAAGGGCUCGUAGGUGGCCAACUAAGUCAGACGUGAAAUCCCUCGGCUUAACCGGGGAACUGCGUCUGAUACUGGAUGGCUUGAG
rnacentral:rRNA from 1 species